ensembl:lncRNA
CCCCACCCCUGGCUGCGCUGCUGUCCCUUCGUCUGGGGGGAAGAGACAACAUCCCGACAACUUGCAGGCUGUGGCGCAACUGGUCUCGACAGCGGAGGCUCCCGAAUGCUGCCCGGGUGAGGAAGCCUCUAAGGAACCAGAUCAUCCAACCACAAAAUUGCCAGUGGGAAAUGAGAAGCAGAUGGUGAAAAGAAUCUUCCCUGCAGGUUGCAUGUGUGCAUGCCCAUGGUGUGUGUACUGGCUGCACACCCCCAGCAUCUUGGCUUCUCCUUGCUCAGGUACAUAAAAGUACGUGAGCCAGCCUGGCAUUGCAGACCAAAUUGUAGAGCCUUGCAUAUUUUGUUUUUCUCUAUUGUUCAUUUUGUGUUUGUUUGGGUCUUUUUUUUUUCUUGGUUACUCUAGCUAAUGUUUUGUCAGUAUUUUUCUUUUCAAAAAUCCCACUCUUCAUUUCAUUGAUCUUUUGUAUUCUCUAUCUCUAUUUCAUUUGUUUUUGCUCUGAUGUUUGCUGUUUCUUUCCUUCUAUAAAUUUUUGGGAUUUGGUUUGUUCUUGCUUUUCUAGUUCCUUGAGAUUCAUUGUUAGGUCGUUUAUUUGAAAUCUUUUAUUUUGUGAUACUGUAGGUGCUUAUAGCUAUAUAUAAACUUCCCUCUUACAGUAGUACUGCUUUUACUGUAUCCCUUAAGUUUUGUUAUGUUGUAUUUCUGAGCUCAUUUUGUGUUCACCAGUUGUUUGAACUGGUUAAUGUAUAGAGUACUGUGAGGAAUGACAUUAAGCAUAGUACUUCCUAAAAAAUUUUUCAGAGUGCUCUCUUGGGUCCUGUUGACUACACUAUAUAAAAACUCUUUGUGACUUUUUUAUCUUGGGAGAGGGUUUUCACUUUCCCUUUUGAUAUUACUGCUUAUUAAAACAUCUAGACUCUAUAAGGGGUAAUUUUUAACUACUAUUUAUUAUGAGGCGGUGAGAUGUACUGAAUGAUUAUGAGCUUGAAUUUGGCUUCCAAUUAUGGUUCUGCUGUUUCCACCUAACCCCAAGAAAGUCACUCAGUUAUUUGGUUCCUUAGCCUUUUCACCUAAAAUGGGAUGAUUAUGUUCUUACCUCAUAGAGUUGUUGUAAGAUAUACUUUGCUAAUGUUUAUUGGACAAUCUGGUUAAUCCAGACAUAGAGUAAAUGCAGAAUAGAUGAAGUCUGCCCCCCUUAAGGAGCUUAAGUUAACAUUAACAGUCUUAUUGAGAAGAUGUGCUCAUGAGAUACAAUAAUGGUGCUAGAAUGCAAAGGAAGUAAGCCGGGGUUUAUUAGAGAUCAGAGGAGGGAAAGACCACUCCUCCAUGGGAGGCACACAGAAUCAAUGAAGCUAGAAGAAACAAUAGAAAGGGGAAGAUGACCUAGAUGGGAGGGAAGGACAACAAGAACAAAAGCUCAAAGCUAUGUCUAGCUAAGCUGCUUGGCUAAGGAUCUUGCCAGUAAGGACUGGUGGUAGCAGGCAGAUGAAUCCAGAAUGUGUAAAAUGGACUAGAUAUAGAAAGUCCUCCUGCUUUUUCUCUAUAUGCUUUUAAAAACAUUGAUAUGGGGGCUGAUACUUGAUCUUGUAACUUCAAAUUGUCCUGAGACUCCGAGGAUGAAGAUCUCUAUGGAAGAGGAGAAAUGGGAUUGAUAAAGUAGGGACAUGCUUGUGUAUAAAUCUACAAUCUAACGGAAGGGCAGUUUUGCAGAGCAUUUGGUGAGGUUAAAAGGAAAAAAAAAGCAGCCCAUCUGUUUGACUGUCGUAGCAACCUUCUGCCAACCAGACAGAUGGAAGCUAAGGCUGAUACCUUGGUGAUAUAAACUGGAAAACUGGAAAAGGCAAUAGGAAGUGACCAUCUCAGCUUCUGCUGGGUGGGUAAUGGGCUAAAAAAAAAAAAGCACUAGUAAAUGUUGGCCUAUUUUUAUGACUUAGAAUAAACAAAGGCAGUUUUUAUAUUAGAUUCAACACUGAGCACUAAGAAAGAAUUACUUUAGGGUAUGAAAAAUAAAGAAGCCUUUGAAGACAGUGGUCAUGAUCUCUUGGAAUUUUUAAGCAAACUUUUUAGUUUAGAACAGUAUUAGAUUCAGAUCAGAGCAUAUGUUAGGUUUCUGUCGUUAUGAAAAAAAUACCUGAAAAAAUCAACUUGAAAAAAGGCAAGAUUUAUUUUAACCCACGGUUUUGAUGGUUUCAGUCCAUGGUCAUUUGGCUUGCUGCUUUGGGGCCUGUGGCAUGGCCGUACACCAUGGUGGGACUAUAUAGUGGAGGACACUGCUCACGCUUUGGUAGCCCAGGGUGGUGGUGGUGGGGGGGGGGGAUAGAGAGAGAAACAGACAGAAAAGGAUGGGGAUCCCAAUAUCCUUUUCAAGGAUGCGCCCCAGUGAUGUAACUUCCUUCCACUAGACCGCACCUCCUGAAGGUUCCACCACCUCCCAAUAGCACCACAGGCUGAUAGCUAAGCCUUUAACACCACCUAGGCCUUUGGAGGCUACUCUAGAUCCAAAUUUUGUCAGUUGAUUAGUGCAAAAAGCAGUACAGAGAAUUCAUAAAGUCUUGCAUCCAGUUUCCCUGUCUUUAUCUUACAUUAGUAUGAUACCUUUGUCUUAAUUCAUGAACUGACAUUGAUUGCUAAAGUCCACACUUUAUUCAGGUUUAUGGUUUUUCUCCAGUAUUUUUUGUUGUUGUUUCGGGAUCCUAUCAUGUGUUCCCUUGGGUUCCUCUUAGUUUUGACAGUUUCUAAGAUUUUUCUUUGUUUUGAUGGCCUUGACAAUUUUGAGAAUUUCUGUUUGGUGUUUUGUAAAAGAUCUCUCAACUGGAAUUUGUCUGGAGUUUUCUCAUCAUUAGACUAGGUGCAGGGGUGGUGAAAUUGAAAGCUCUAAAUGGUUUGUCAUCACUGGACCAGAGUGAUGGGCUUUGGGGAGGUAAAAUGUUGUCCUCAUCACUUGGUAUGAAAGAUAAUACCAUUGAUAAGACUUAUCUUUAUCAUUGCUAAUUUUGAUCACUUGUAUAAAGUAAUGUUUGUCCGGUUUCUCCAGUGUAAAAGUUAUGCUUUUUAUUUCCUUCUCUUCCCUUACUUCAGUCUUUGCAAGAAAGUCACUGUGUGCAGCCCAUAUAUAAGGAGUGGGAAGUUACUUUCCUCCUCCUCUAGGAUGGUGUAUUUAUAAAAUUAUGUGGAAUUGUUCUACCUGGGAGAUUAGUCCAUUAUCCCACAUCUGUUUGUUUAUUCCUUACAUCACUAUCAACUCAUUUAUUUUAUUCUUUCAGUUAUAAUCCAACAUAUUCUAUUUUUGUGCUAAGAUUGAUUUUUUUUUUUUUUGCUUUCUCUUUCAUUUGGCUUCUGUAUCCCUUGACAUAGCCUCAUCAUUGAGGGAGUUUGUUUAGUUUUUAGCACCUUAUUUACUACAAGAUACUCACUACAAGAUACUUUUGACUCAUUUGCUAUAUUUCUUGUGUCAGACCCUUUGGAAUUUUUAAUUAUAGAAAAAAAAUUUGGGUUAUAGGAUGUUACCAGGGCUUCAUACAAUGGAAAUAAAUUACAGCUUUUUAAUGGAUAUGUGACCCAAAAGACGUGAGAGUUUCUGAAAAAGGAAAUUCUAUUACACAAGUAUAAAAUUUCAUGAAAGAGAAGGAGGGACAGAACCUAAAAGAACUCGUCUGGCUUCAGAGGAUGUGUUUGAUUAAUUUGGAUUUUUAAGAGCCACACACAGAAGAUGAAGAAAGGACUUAUGAUCAGACUGAGAAUUUCUAAAAGUAUCAUCAUCAAAAGCUACUUAGCUGCUGGUUUGUUAGAACAAUUUCAUGACCCCCGAAAUGAAUUUAGAGGGUUCAUUUACACAUCAGCCAUGUGAAAAUGGAACCUCUUUUCACUGCUCUGAAGUUGACUCUGAUCUUAGUUUAUUCAUUCAGCAAAUUUGAACACCCCUUAUGUAAACUCGUUUAGUUCAAUAAACAAAGCUGCCCGAGUCUGUUCUCAUGGAGUUUCAUUCUUAUUCAGGAGGAUGUGUAACAAGUAGGUAGUUUUUAAUAUGUCAGAUAAAAAAUUAAAGCAGGUUAAGAGGUAUGGAGAAUUUGGGGGUGGAGUAAUGGGUUUGUUACUUAUUUAAAGGGGUUUUAGACUGCCCCAUUGAUAAGGUGGUAUUUGAGCAGGAAGCAGACAGAAGCAAUGGAAUGAGCCAUGCACAACUCAGGAAAAAUACUUUAGGCAAAGUGAACAGAGAGGGUAAGAGGCCUGAAGCAGCAGUGUACUUGGUAUAUGCAAGAAAUAGGGAGUCAUUGAGGCUGGGGAGAAUGAGGGCAAACACAUGUGCCUGAGCAGGGGGAUGCCAUUUACAGAAAGCUUGUGUGACUGAGUGUCCCCAAAGCUGUGCGCUGCUGUAGACCUGACUCUUGGAACCUGGACUCCCAUAAGGCUCCCAUACUUUUGAGCUAGGGAAUAAAGUAAUCUAGUUUCACAUUUGAAAAAGGCCAUGCUGUACUCUAUGCAUAGUGGGGGCCAAAGGGCAGAAGCAGAGAACCCAGUUAGGAGUUCUAAUCUAUUAGUGUAUUUCAGUCUUAAUCUUAAUCUCUGUCACAUAGCAAUUGUAUACAUCUCAUUUGCUACCUGCAUAUUUUCAUAUUUUUCUUCUAUAGCCCCAGGUUUAUAAUGUUCAGUGGCUAUGUAAUAUUUUAUGUAUUAGUUUUGUUGCUGUGAAAAAUUAACAUCAAUUUGGUGGUUUAAAAGAACAUAGAUUUAUUAUGCUACCAAUCCUGGAAAUUAGAAUCCUACAAUCAAGGUGUUUUGAAGGCUCCAGGGAAACUAUUUCCCUGCUUUUCCAGCUUCUGGAGGCUGUUCUCCUUGACUCACAGCCCCUUCCUGACAUUUUCUAAUUUCUCCCCCUCCUGCCGUCUCUCCACCUCUGUUGCUUUUAUCACCUCUCCCCUGACUUUGACCCUCCUGUCUUUCCUGUGUGAUGACCUGCCUUAAUUUAAUUUCAUCUGAAAAGUUUCUUUUACCAUGUAAGGUAACAUUUAGUAGUAUAUUCUGGGGAUUAGGAUGUGAGUGUCUUUGGGAGGCCAUUAUUUGGACUAGCAUAGUUAAUGUUUUGUAGAACAUUUCACAAUUUCCAGUGUUGGGUACUUCAGACUCCAUCUAGUUGGGAGUACUAAGAUAUUAUUAUACCCCUUGUAUUUGUAUAUUUUGACCCUUUAUUUUUUUCAGAAUAUAUCACUUAAGAUAAAUGUCUAGGUGCAGAGUUCCUGGAACAAAGGGCAUGCACAUCUUUUGUGUUUGUUCUCCAAAUACAUGGCUAUAUUAUCAGGAAUCAUAUGAGUAUUUCCUUUUCCCUACAACCUCACCAGCACAGCUUUUUGUCAGUUAAAGGUAUGUUUCCAUAGUACAUCACAGAAAAACAUUUUUUAAAAAUUGCUUUGUUAGCUAGGUUGAACCUGUGUGUGUGUGAUAUAAUUUGCAUUUAGAGAAUAGUUCUUGUGUUUGUUUUACUUGUUAUAUCUAGAGCUAGACAAAUAGGGACAGAUGUGGACAAUUAAGGAGUUAAGGCUGGCAUUAAUAGAUGACACAUACAGAACUAAAUACAUCAUUUUUGCUUCUUCACCUAAGAGAUGGUCUUCAGAAUGGAAAAUACAUUAUUUCACUGUCAUUUACAUGACAGUGACAGUGCAAACAGGUAAUUUGAAUGCGUUCAUAUCUCUGGGGCACAGUAGAUCAAAUCUUGGGAUGCUGAAGGCAUUAGCAGAUAACAUCUCUGAGUGGAUAAAUCUCUGGCAGAAUAAAUCUUGAAGAGCAGGAGAGGUUGUAGAAGACCUGAGACAUGCAGAUGUUAUUCUGUAUAGUGUAUGAAAAAGUCCAAGGUCUAAAAUUAGAAAUAUGUGAAAUGCUCCCUUGAAAAAAUUCUAAAUUAUUAUCAAAUAAGUGAUUUGUGAGUCCAUAGAAGAAAUUAUCUUGAUCUCUUGGAACCAGCAAAAAAAUUACUAGCCUGUAUGAGCAAUCUUCACAUUUCCUUUUUUGAUAGGAAUUUCUUGAUGGGAAGAAAAUGCUAUGGAAAUUAAAGCAUUUGGCAAAAACCUCUCAUAGAUCUCCUUUUACAGAUGAAGAGAAAUUUUGGUGAAUGAGGAAAAAUUAAAUGACUGAACAACUGAUUCUAUUCGCAUAUCAUAGCACAGAAAAUGUGACUCUGUGGAUGUGAUUGCAUUGAAGAAUUUGAAAUGAAGAGAUCAUCCUGUAUUAUCCAGGUGGGUCUUCAGUGACACAGGUAUCUUAAUAAGAGAGAGGAGAGGGAGGCUCCCAAUGGAGACACACAGAGAAGGUGAUGUGAAGAAGGA